CCCCUCAUCAUUCCACUCUCUUCCCACGCAAUUUCUUUUUUUCUAUUUUUUUUAUACCGAACGAUAAAGUUUCAAAAUGCUUCGUGGUUAGUUUCCGAUGCUAGUGACGUUUCCACCACCGCCAUCACCACCACCAUCACCACCACCAGCAUCAUCACCACCACCACCACCACCAACAGCAUCACUACUUGCCAUCUGCAGACAAAGACUCAUAUUCAAGAAGAAAGGAGAGAAAAACUUGACCUCCACACGUUUUGGAAGAUGUUGAUGUUCUCGAGGACUUCUGAGUAUUGUUAAUCCCACUUCGAAACAGCAUCUACGGGGGGAGUGGAAAAAAUUGGGCGGCUUUUCCGAUACCCUACGCCCCUGUCCACCCAGCAGUGAAUGGGUACCAGGUGUCGGCUGGAGGCCACGAGGGACGAAAAGGAACAAGUCUCCCUUCGCCUGCCUCCCGCGACCACCAACCGCCCGUGGGAUAUUGGACGCCGAUAAAGAAGGGACUCAGAAGCUACGUGAGGACACAGGGGUGGUAGUGCUGUCCAUUAUCUGCCCCGUGCUGCCGACAGAAGUGAUGGAGAUGUGUGGGUCACUUCGUCAGCCAGCAACUUCACCCAGCCAAUAGACCCAACUGCCUAGUCAUCCAGCUCUUUGCAGACACAUCCAUGGCUGCUUUGACCUCAUCUGAUAUCCUAGUUCACUGUGGUAAGUUAACAGUUUAUAUUAUAUGUGUGUUGCUCCUUUUUUUCGGCAACACAAUUCGUAAAUGAUACUGAGUGACUGACUGACUGACUGUUGUUUGAUAAGGAAGGCGGGUUGAGCUACAUACCGUGUUCCUCAGAUAUCAUGAAGUUAAUAAUGAGUUAGAGCCGCAUUGAUUCAUUUGUGGGGAGAUUUUAAACUUGAUAUUGGGUAGCGUGGAGGGGAAGUAUUGAGAAAGGCACCGCUUGUAAUUCCAGGUUUAGGUGACGAGAGAAAACGUAGCCCUCGAUUGUUUGAGUGGUAGACUGAACAGAAGGAAGAGGAGCUAGAAGAUAGGAGAGAGGGGGAUGAAAUGAGGAAGGAGUAGGAAGAAAAGAAGAAAAAGAAGUGUGAAAGGAAAGAGA